rnacentral:tRNA from 1 species
GCAUUAUUGGUUCAGUGGUAGAAUUCUCGCCUCCCACGUUGGAGAGCCGGGUUCGAUUCCUGGCCAAUGCA